rnacentral:rRNA from 1 species
GACGAACGCUGGCGGCGUGCCUAAUACAUGCAAGUCGAACGCAGUGGGGACGGGUGAGUAACACGUGGGUAACCUCCCAUCAGAGGGGAUAACACUUGGAAACAGGUGCUAAACCGAUCCUGAUGGAUGGACCCGCGGUGCAUUGGCUAGUUGGUGAGGUAACGGCUCACCAAGGCCACGAUGCAUAGCCACCCUGAGAGGAGGGUCGUCAACACUGGGACUGAGUCACGGCCCAGAAUCCUACGGGCGGCAGCGGUAGGGAGUCUUCGGCAAUGGACGAAAGUCGGACCGAGCGACGCCGCGUGAGUGGAGAAGGUUUGCGGAUCGAAAGACUCUGUUGUUAGAGAAGCGGUAUCUAACCAGAAGGCCACGGCUGACUACGUGCCAGCAGCCGCGGUAAUAC